rnacentral:rRNA from 1 species
AGGGAAAUUCCGAAUUCCGGAAUCUGCCUUGUUGUGGGGGAUAACGUAGGGAAACUUACGCUAAUACCGCAUAAGACCGUAAGGUGAAAGCGGGGGAUCGAAAGACCUCGCGCGACAAGAUGAGCCGAUGUCGGAUUAGCUAGUUGGCGGGGUAAUGGCCCACCAAGGCGACGAUCCGUAGCUGGUCUGAGAGGAUGAUCAGCCACACUGGAACUGAGACACGGUCCAG